GGGAAAUCUUGCAUGAAUGUUGUAAUGAGUUUGGUUAUUUUUGUUUCCCCUUUGAGGGAAACUCCCCGAGCAUGUAUCAAAGAAUGAUGGGGGUUUAUUACACUCGUUUGACAGCCUCAGUUUCAAUUGUUAUUUUGAAAUUUGGGGUUUAUCCGGUGACAACAGACGAGGGGCUUUCUGAAGAAACCCCCUACGCAGCCUGUAAGUGUGAUUGUUAUAGUUAGAAGAACAAAAUGAGCCAUUUAUUGACUUCUUUUGGCAUUUUGGUUGGUGGAAGCUGUGGCUGAGCCAACAGAUUAAUUAAUGUACAGAGUCAUGGAAACUUGGAAAUAUCAAUGAAUUACCCUCUAAAGCUGCUGAUGUAAUUACUCACAAAAUCACCAUGGAAAGUGGUGAUGCACCUCUGGAAUAUCUAUAGCUGGACAGAUGCAUGACUUUUUACAUUAUUUUUGGGGAAAUAACACAAUUACGAUGUUGCUUUGAAAAAAGAAACAUUAAUUGGUUUUAUUUAUCUAAAAAAAUCAUGCAUUGGAAAUAAUUAAGAUCUUACUGGAAUAGUAUGAUAGUUUGUACUUUGGCUUGGCUUUAAAAUGUUUAUCACAGGUCCUUUUAUUCCUUGGAAAUGAUUACAGUCUCACUGGAAUAGGAAUACAAAUAUUUCCUGUUAUAUAUUUUCUCAGAAAUCAUGAAGGAUAGAAAUGCAUUUGUCAGAAGGGUGGGAACACUAAACGCCCAAAUAAGAGCUUUUUUCAGGUUUCAACCUUGAAUUUGACUUUUUCGUCUGGAAAACCCCUGAAAAUUGCAGUAUUCCUGAAGAGGUGCUUGAAUUAUUGAAAGACAAUCCAUCUAUAAAACAAGUGUUUUUUUUUUUUGUUGUUUUUUUUUUGUAUAACUUUAAUAUCUUUUCACACAAAAUUCAUGCAAUUGAAUAAACUAGUAAAAAAAAACAAAAACGGCAACAAUAACAAAAAACAGAAUAAAACGUAAAACUAACUGACAAUGUCGUGUAAACAUGGCUGAAGACGUGAAAACCAGAACAGAUUAACUGAAUCAGUUCAGUGCAACUGAACCGCUCCGAUUGAUUCAAACUUGUGACUUUGAUCUUUUGUUUCAAGUGAUUCACUCGGGUUUGCAAAUCUUUUUUGUUUAAGUUGGAGCUUUGCAUAUUGCAAAUCAUUUGAUUCAGAUUGUGACUUUGCAGGUUCGCAAAUCAUUUGAUUCAGAUCAGGACUUUGGAGCACAUAUCGUACAUCAUUUUAUUUAGAUCGGAACUCAGAGUGUGGUUCGAGAGUCAUUUGAUUUAGAUCGAGACUUCGGUGCAGGUUCACAAAUCAUUUGAUUCAGAUCGAUACAUUGGUGCAGGUUUGCGAUUCAUUUGAUUCAGUUCGGGACUUUAGAGCAUUGAUGGUGAAUCAUUUGAUUCAGAUUGAGACUUUGCUGCAGAUUUGCACAUAUUGUGAAUCAUUUUAUUUAGAUUAGAAUUUUAGAGUGCAGUUCGCAAAUCAUUUGAUUCAGAUUGAGACUUCGGUGCAGGUUCGUGAAUCAUUUGAUUCAGAUCGGAACUUUGGAGCAGGUUUGCAAAUCGUUUGAUUCAGAUCAAGAUUUCAGUGCAGGUUUGCAAAUCAUCUGAUCCAGUUCGGGUCUUCAGAGCAUGGAUCGCAAAUCAUUUGUUUCAGAUCAGGAUUUCAAAGUGGUUUCACAAAUCAUUGUAUUUUUUAUCAAACAGUAGAAGGCAUGACACGAUUAAGACAGUACAGUUAUAAAAACAAAACGAAGAAAAAAGAAAAAGAAAGUAUAUGCAAAUACAAAUUUGCAUAUUUGCAAAAAAAUUUGCAAAAAAAAAAAAAAAAGAAAAUUAACCAUGGUUUUAAUUUGAAAGAGAAGACAUUGUUCUUUUUAUUUAUAUCAGAACUUCAGAGUGUGGUUUGCAAAUCAUUUGAUUCAGAUUAAGACUUCGGUGCAGGUUUGUGAAUCAUUUGAUUCAGAUCGAGACUUUGGAGCACAUAUCGUGAAUCAUUUCAUUUAGAGCGGAACUUCAGAGUGUGGUUCACAAAUCAUUUGAUUCAGAUCGAGGCUUUGGUGCAGGUUUGAAAAUCAUUUGAUUCAGAUCGAGACUUUGGUGCAGGUUUGCAAAUCAUUUGAUUCAGAUCGAGACUUUGGUGCAGGUUUGCAAAUCAUUUGAUUCAGAUCGAGACUUUGGUGCAGGUUUGCAAAUCAUUUGAUUCAGAUCGAGACUUUGGUGCAGGUUUGCAAAUCAUUUGAUUCAGAUCGAGACUUUGGUGCAGGUUUGCAAAUCAUUUGAUUCAGAUCGAGACUUUGGUGCAGGUUUGCAAAUCAUUUGAUUCAGAUCGAGACUUUGGUGCAGGUUUGCAAAUCAUUUGAUUCAGAUCGAGACUUUGGUGCAGGUUUGCAAAUCAUUUGAUUCAGAUCGAGACUUUGGUGCAGGUUUGCAAAUCAUUUGAUUCAGAUCGAGACUUUGGUGCAGGUUUGCAAAUCAUUUGAUUCAGAUCGAGACUUUGGUGCAGGUUUGCAAAUCAUUUGAUUCAGAUCGAGACUUUGGUGCAGGUUUGCAAAUCAUUUGAUUCAGAUCGAGACUUUGGUGCAGGUUUGCAAAUCAUUUGAUUCAGAUCGAGACUUUGGUGCAGGUUUGCAAAUCAUUUGAUUCAGAUCGAGACUUUGGUGCAGGUUUGCAAAUCAUUUGAUUCAGAUCGAGACUUUGGUGCAGGUUUGCAAAUCAUUUGAUUCAGAUCGAGACUUUGGUGCAGGUUUGCAAAUCAUUUGAUUCAGAUCGAGACUUUGGUGCAGGUUUGCAAAUCAUUUGAUUCAGAUCGAGACUUUGGUGCAGGUUUGCAAAUCAUUUGAUUCAGAUCGAGACUUUGGUGCAGGUUUGCAAAUCAUUUGAUUCAGAUCAAGACUUUGGUGCAGGUUUGCAAAUGAUUUGAUUCAGAUCAGGACUUUGGAGCACAUAUUAUUUGGAGCUCAUACAGUUAUAAAAACAAAAAGAAAAAAGAAAAAGAAAGUAUAUUCAAAUACAAAUCCCUUAAUAGAAAAAAAGAAAAUUAACUGUGGUAUUAAUUUAAAAAGAGAAGACAUUGUUUGAUAAGUGAGAUGAUUGAAGCCCUUGAAAAUCAAAAAAGUAGUACUUGAAAAGUCCUUGAAAGUUUUUGUUAAAAUACUCCAGUAGUUAAUAUUUGAUUCAUUUGUUUAGUUGUAGAUUACGGUCGAGUUGAAAUCAAAGUCAGCCCUGCCUAUCGUCACUGAUUCACCAGUGUUAUUCAGAAAAAGAAAAUGUUGUAAUGUUUCAUCGAGUGUAAAAACGUGCUCCGCCUAAGGAAGCAGCUUUCUUUUUCUAGAAAGGAAAACCCCUUGCAUCCAAUCGAUUCCAAUAUCCUGUUUCAGCCACAUUAUUGAAGUAAAAUGGAUUGCAAACACCGUUUGAUUCUGGCAUUUCUGCUAGUUGGGUUUUAUUAAAUGAGAGGAUGUCAAAUUUGGGUCACACAGUCUUAAAGGACAUCAGGGUGUGAGUCUAAAGGAAACGCACAAAUCUGACAGUCAGCACUUAAAGCUGUGAGUAAUACUAAUGCUGCUGCACUUUUACCAAAAGCCACGUAAUCAACUAAGACCAGGCCAUUGGACAUAUUACUCAGAUGUUUCCUUCUGACAGUCAGUGUGUAACUCCCAGAUUGAGUAAACCUGUGCAUGGUCCCUCUUCUUUGGAAUUGUGCUUCAGUUCUUGUUGUUCUUCCUUUAUGUUAUGAAAUCAAGAGUCGGUGGAUUCAUUCUACUGUACUCCUGACUGUCAGAUCAAGCAUGAUGGCCUGAAGCAUUGGGGUUGUAAUCUUUGCAGACUUGUAGUAUACGGGGACCGUCCCCAACAUAUCCGGUUGCAUUAAAAAAUGAAACCUUAUUUCGGUUGUUCACAUGUACCCUGUACAUCUAUAUAUGUUAUAUGUAUAUGUGUAUAUAUAUGUAUAUUUGUGUGUGUAUGUAUGUAUAUUAUUAAAAUAAUUGAUUUGAUAUUAUAGAAUUCAUUCUUUUAUGUUCAUG